rnacentral:rRNA from 1 species
CGUAGGACACAAGCGUUAUCCGGAUUUACUGGGCGUAAAGCGUCUGCAGGCGGACAGGUAAGUUGGGCGUGAAAGCUCCGGGCCCAACCCGGAGAGGUCGUUCAAUACUGCGUGUCUAGAGGGUGUCAGAGGGGAGUGGAAUUUCCGGAGUAGCGGUAAAAUGCGCAGAGAUCGGAAAGAACACCAAUGGCGAAGGCAGCUCCCUGGGGCAACCCUGACGCUAAGAGACGAAAGCUAGGGGAGCGAACAGGAUUAGAGACCCUGGUAGUCCUAGCCCUAAACGAUGGAUGCUGGAUGUGGGGCCAUAGCGCUCCGUGUCGAAGCGAACGCGUUAAGCAUCCCGCCUGGGGACUACGGCCGCAAGGUUAAAACUCAAACGAAUUGACGGGACCCCGCACAAGCAGCGGAGCGUGUGGUUUAAUUCGAUGCUACACGAAGAACCUUACCUGGGUUUGACAUCUAGGUGGUAGUGAAGCGAAAGCGGAGCGACCCUUCGGGGAGCCUAGACAGGUGCUGCAUGGCUGUCGUCAGCUCGUGCCGUGAGGUGUCGGGUUAAGUCCCGUAACGAGCGCAACCCUUGCCCUUAGUUACAAGUGUCUAAGGGGACUGCCGGCGGGAAGCCGGAGGAAGGUGGGGAUGACGUCAAGUCAGCAUGGCCCUUAUGUCCAGGGCUACACACACGCUACAAUGGUCAGUACAAAGGGUAGCGAAGUCGCGAGGCGGAGCGAAUCUCAACAAAGCUGAUCGUAGUUCGGAUUGCAGGCUGCAACCCGCCUGCAUGAAGCUGGAGUUGCUAGUAACCGCGCGUCAGCCAUAGUGCGGUGAAUACGUACCCGGGGC